rnacentral:ncRNA from 1 species
ACGAAGGACUAUACAUAUAGCAGGAGUGACCAAGAAAAGGCUGGAGUUAAACUGUUGGGACCCGAAAGAUGGUGACUAUGCUUGUGGUGUUUAAAGCCGAAGGAAACUUUGGUAGAAGGACUAAGGAGUGUUAACGUGCAAAUUACUUGCAAUAUAUGAGUAUAGGGGCGAAAGACUAAUCGAACUAUCUAGUAGCUGGUUCCACCUGAAUAUUCCUUUGGGAAGGUUGAAGUGAGAAAGUAGUGACGAUUGGUAAAGAUAAUGAUUGGAUGUAAUGGAGAGCUUGAUUUUUCAACAUUUUAACAAACUAUGAAUAGUCGAGAGAAUCAAAAAUAUACUAAUUUAUUAGGAGUGAGCAUAUGCGACUUCAAAUCGGCCAAGUCUGGUAAGCAGGACUGGCGAUGCGGGAUGAAACGAACAUACAGAUAAAGUAUCCAAGUCUUACAUGAGAAGAACCAUAAAAGGGUUCAUUCACAUUGAAUCCAGGUUGAUGGCCAUGGAAGUUGGAAAUCGCUAAGGAGUGUGUAACAACUCACCGAUCGAAUGGAUAAGCCCUGAAAAUGGAAGGUAUUAUAAUGAGAGAGAGUGAUAAUGUAUCCUUGUGGAGGCUGAGGCACACGAGGAGUAAGGAAAUGCAUGGUGCCAAGAAUACGUGAGUGAUAAAGGUAGAGAAGUAAUUUCUAUUGAAACAGACUUGAGAAAGAUCUUGGUGGAAGUAGCAAAUACUUAGAAGAGGAAAAAAAUAUCUAAGGACUGAAGAGGAGAAAGGUUCCUAGACAACAUUAAUUGGAAUGGUGUGAAUCAAUUCUCGAAGACAAACAGGGAAAUGCAAGAAUGGACUCAUACACAAGGCUUACAAAACAACCAUACCCAAUG